GAUGAACGCUGGCGGCGUGCCUAAUACAUGCAAGUCGAGCGAACAGACAAGGAGCUUGCUCCUUUGACGUUAGCGGCGGACGGGUGAGUAACACGUGGGUAACCUACCUAUAAGACUGGGAUAACUUCGGGAAACCGGAGCUAAUACCGGAUAAUAUUUCGAACCGCAUGGUUCGAUAGUGAAAGAUGGUUUUGCUAUCACUUAUAGAUGGACCCGCGCCGUAUUAGCUAGUUGGUAAGGUAACGGCUUACCAAGGCGACGAUACGUAGCCGACCUGAGAGGGUGAUCGGCCACACUGGAACUGAGACACGGUCCAGACUCCUACGGGAGGCAGCAGUAGGGAAUCUUCCGCAAUGGGCGAAAGCCUGACGGAGCAACGCCGCGUGAGUGAUGAAGGUCUUCGGAUCGUAAAACUCUGUUAUUAGGGAAGAACAUACGUGUAAGUAACUGUGCACGUCUUGACGGUACCUAAUCAGAAAGCCACGGCUAACUACGUGCCAGCAGCCGCGGUAAUACGUAGGUGGCAAGCGUUAUCCGGAAUUAUUGGGCGUAAAGCGCGCGUAGGCGGUUUUUUAAGUCUGAUGUGAAAGCCCACGGCUCAACCGUGGAGGGUCAUUGGAAACUGGAAAACUUGAGUGCAGAAGAGGAAAGUGGAAUUCCAUGUGUAGCGGUGAAAUGCGCAGAGAUAUGGAGGAACACCAGUGGCGAAGGCGACUUUCUGGUCUGUAACUGACGCUGAUGUGCGAAAGCGUGGGGAUCAAACAGGAUUAGAUACCCUGGUAGUCCACGCCGUAAACGAUGAGUGCUAAGUGUUAGGGGGUUUCCGCCCCUUAGUGCUGCAGCUAACGCAUUAAGCACUCCGCCUGGGGAGUACGACCGCAAGGUUGAAACUCAAAGGAAUUGACGGGGACCCGCACAAGCGGUGGAGCAUGUGGUUUAAUU
rnacentral:rRNA from 1 species